GCUGCUUUCCUUGCCCAGGCCUCUGCUCAGCUGAUGGUUCACUGCUGUGACUCCACGAUAAAUGGCAUGUGCUCUGCCUGGACACUUGACAUAGUGAAAGCACGUUGUCUGCUGGCACCUUGCCAGGCACUUUGUUUUCACAACCCCAUGAGGUGGAUACUAUUAUCAACCCCGCUUUAUAGAUGAGGACACUGAGGCCCCAGACCUCUAUGUCAGCUGCCAUAUUAAGGCAGAUGUCAUGUGCUGUGGUGAAGAUGGGAUCCGAACGCCCGGCAGCCUGGAUCCAGAUUUGGAGACUGAGACUGAGGGCUCUGGCGUCAGCGGGAGCUGGGCUGGAAUCGUCCAGAUUCUUACCUAGAAUCUUCCAGGGACCACUUACUCCUUCUGCUUCCACUGGCUCCUGGGCUGUGGGUUGGAAUAUACAGGAGAGGAAAGGGGACUUUAGGACAAGUGCCAAGAACUUUGCAGAAAUCUUCCUUGCUCAUCCUGUACAAAUCUGUGAAGCCUUCUGGGUCUCCUCCGUGCCGAGUGGCACUGAGGCCAGCUCUGCGCUGCUGGCCCUUCAGCUCCUGGCUCUGGUUCUUCUCUGGCCCCCUCUCAUGGCACAGAAGACUCUCCGGGGGUGUGCUGAGUGCAGAAAGCAAGUUGACCAUCAGCAGAGAGGGCAAGAUGAGGAAGGUGAGGCUGCCAAAGAAGAAUCACCAAAAGCAGUUGGCAGAGUCCACAGCUCCCGAUCUUUGGCCUGCUCCAAGCUGUCUCCCGGGACAGGGACAAGGACCUUCCUUGGGAAUGGGACUUGGCUCCAAUCCUGGCUCUCCCUCCACGAGCAGGCAGCAGCCCCUGUAGGCACAUGGGAAAACAAGCCUCCUGGGGCACUAGGAGGCAAAAACACACAUAAAUAAAACUUGAACCCCAGUGCCCGCUGCGAAGAUUAGGCAUAUAUUUAUAAAAAU